AGUACCCUGCUGUGUUCGUGAUGUUGCAUGAUCGGUUUUGGGCCAACACCUUUGUUAUAGGGUCCCUUAUCUGCAGACACGACACGAUAGGCUUCGGCCAAGGUGAUCGUGCUGAGGCGGGACCCGCCUGCGCAAGCAGGUUCAAAACUGCGCAGCACACGGCAUGGUGGGGUACUU
rnacentral:other from 1 species